rnacentral:rRNA from 1 species
UACGUAGGGUGCGAGCGUUGUCCGGAAUUAUUGGGCGUAAAGAGCUUGUAGGUGGUUUUGUCGCGUCUGCUGUGAAAAUCCGGGGCUCAACCCCGGACUUGCAGUGGGUACGGGCAGACUGGAGUGUGGUAGGGGAGACUGGAAUUCCUGGUGUAGCGGUGGAAUGCGCAGAUAUCAGGAGGAACACCGAUGGCGAAGGCAGGUCUCUGGGCCACUACUGACGCUGAGAAGCGAAAGCAUGGGGGAGCGAACAGG